UACGAAGGGGGCUAGCGUUGCUCGGAAUCACUGGGCGUAAAGCGCACGUAGGCGGAUUGCUAAGUCAGGGGUGAAAUCCUGGAGCUCAACUCCAGAACUGCCCUUGAUACUGGCGGUCUCGAGUCCGGGAGAGGUGAGUGGAACUGCGAGUGUAGAGGUGAAAUUCGUAGAUAUUCGCAAGAACACCAGUGGCGAAGGCGGCUCACUGGCCCAGUACUGACGCUGAGGUGCGAAAGCGUGGGGAGCAAACAGG
rnacentral:rRNA from 1 species